rnacentral:rRNA from 1 species
GACUUUGUUGUGGGGUGAUGGCGUGCCUUUUGAAGAAUGAGCCUGCGAGUCAGGGACAUGUCGCGAGGUUAACCCGGGUGGGGUAGCCGUAGCGAAAGCGAGUCUGAAUAGGGCGUAUCCACACAACAGUGUGUGGUGUAGUGGUGUGUUCUGGACCCGAAGCGGAGUGAUCUACCCAUGGCCAGGGUGAAGCGCGGGUAAGACCGCGUGGAGGCCCGAACCCACUUAGGUUGAAGACUGAGGGGAUGAGUUGUG